GAUGAACGCUGGCGGUGUGCCUUAAGCAUGCAAGUGGAACGGUUUUUUUGAGGCCGUAAGGCUUUGGAGAAGCAGUCGCGGACGGGUGAGUACAACGUAGGAAUCUGCCUGAAAGUGUGGAAUAACUCGCCGAAAGGCGGGCUAAUACCGCAUGUGAUCGCAAGAUUAAAGGGAAUAACUUCUCGCUUUCAGAGGAGCCUACGCUCUAUCAGCUGAGUUGGUGGGGUAAAGGCCUACCAAGGCAACGAUCUGUAGUUGGUCUGAGAGGACGACCGGCAACAGUGGGACUGAGACACGGCCGAGACUCCUACGGGAGGCAGCAGUGGGAAAUUUUGUACAAUGGGCGCAAGCCUGAUCCAGCAAUGCCGCGGGCAGGAAGAAGGCUUUCGGGUUGUAAACUGCUUUUGUCAGGGAAGAAAUCUUCUGGGCUAAUACCCCGGGAGGAUGACGGUACCUGAAGAAUAAGCACCGGCUAACUACGUGCCAGCAGCCGCCGUAA
rnacentral:rRNA from 1 species